CAACCAACCCCGGCACAUCCCGGCCAUGGCCACCAACCCCCUCCCUGCGCUGGCCCUGCUGGCCCUGCUGGCGCUUCCAGGGCUCCGGGCGGCCGUGACCCUGCUGGAGUCCGGGGGGGACCUCCAGCCCCCCGGGGGGUCCCUGCGCCUCCUCUGCCGAGCGUCUGGGUUCGAUUUCGGGAGUUUCUCCAUGUACUGGGUCCGCCAGAGACCCGGGCAGGCCCUGGAGUUUGUUGCAGGGAUCAGCAGAAGCAGUGGCAGCAUCUACUACGCGGAUUCGGUGCAGGGCCGGUUCACGAUGACGAGCGACAAUGGGCAGAGCUCGGUGACGCUGGCCAUGAGCAGCCUCAAGGACGAGGAUUCCGCCGUCUAUUUCUGCGCCAAAAGUUCUGGUAGUAGUUGUUGUAAUGCUGGUGCUUCUCUUGCCCAAUGUGAUUGAUCACCAGGUCCCCCCUGUCCCCAUUUGA